rnacentral:tRNA from 1 species
CCUUCUGUUAAAAUAAAUAAUCGAGUAGUACUUUAAUCAAAAAGACUUGGGUUGCAUCUAAUAAUUA